rnacentral:rRNA from 1 species
UGGGCGUAAAGCGUGCGUAGGCGGCUCCUUAGGUCGGGUGUAAAUCCCGGGGCUCAACCCCGGAACUGCGCUCGAAACCCCGGUGCUUGAGUCUCUAAGGGAUAAGUGGAAUUCCCGGUGUAGGGGUGAAAUCCGUAGAUAUCAGGAGGAACACCGGCGGCGAAGGCGAUUUCUUGGCCGAAGACUGACACUGAGGUACGAAAGUAUGGGGAGCGAACAGGAUUAGAUACCCUGGUAGUCCACACCGUAAACGAUGGUCACUAGCUGUCGGUUGCAUGAACCCACGCCAUGGCGCAAUUCACGCCUUAAGUGAUCCGCCUGGGGAUACGGUUGCCAAAUUGGAACUCAAAGGAAUUGACGGGGGCCCGCACAAACGGUUGAACAUGUGGUUUAAUUCGAAGCCACGCGCAGGACCUUACCUGGGUUUGACAUCCUCCGGACCGACCAGAGAUGGACCGGUGCCCUUCGGGGAACGGAGUGCAUGUGGCUGAAUGCCUUUCUUCAGUUCGUUUCGUGAAAUUUUGGGUUAAUUCCCGCAAGGGGCGCAACCAUGGUCCUUAUUUGCCACAGAUUCGGUCGGGGUCUAGAGGGAGUCCGGCGGUCUGAAACGGGGAGAAAGGUGGGGAUGACGUAAUGUCGCUUAUGCCCCUUAUGCCCAGGGAUACACACGUGAACAAUGUCCGGUACAAUCCACACAGAGGCAGCGAUGGUGAGCAAUAUCGGACAAACCCGGUCUCAGUUCGGAUCACAGUCUCAAUCUGCGACGGCAUAAGCGGGUCUCGUUAGU